GGGGAGCCAGAGGAGGUCAAAGGUUAAGGGAUCUAGAACAACACUCAUGUGAGAGGUAUAGAAAAUAGGACACAUUAAAAAAAAAAUUAUUUAACUUUGAGCUGUUCUGACUGGAGAUCUGUAGGUUGAAUAUCUACAUUUCUGAUGUUUUCUUAAUUCCACUCAGUAUUGAAUGCAUCUAAAGAUUGUUUUGAUCUGGAAAGGCAUCAACAAUCAUUAUCAAAAUCAUUAUUGUUCAGAAAACAAGGUAGACUGCAAGGCAUUUCUAGAAGAGACAAAAUAAAACAGAAUAAAGGAGACAUUAUUGUAUCAGGAAUAGCGGGGAAAAAAGUCAAAGAAAAGAGAUUUUCUGAACAGCAAACAACCUAAAUAUCUGGAAAAACAACCACAAUAGUAAUUCCUGUUAAAUCCUUGUGAUAACUUAUAGUCAAAAUAUAUGGUUAUAACUCAAAUAACUAAAAACAACAACAAAACAUUAAAGUUAUUUCUAAAAUUAGAGGUAAAAUUUUCAAAAACCAUCUUAUUCAGAUGUUAUAUUUCAUAACAUUCUUCUACUUGUUGGGGAAAUUAGGACCUAAAGCUUCCAGAAGAUUAGUCAAUUUGCCACAAAUAAGGGCGAACUUACUGGAUACACACUGGAUAUAUUUACUGUACUUGUGACUAGUGACAUUUAAAUAAAUUACAGCUCCCACCACAAAACAAGGAAGCAAAAAAAAUGUUCAAAAGCUACUGACUAAAACACAAAUGGAUCUGCACAAACCAUAAGCAUCAACUGCACUGGAAAACAGACAAAAUCAUCACCUUGACACUUUGUUGAGUUUCUGAGUCAGAGAGAUAAAGUAAUCGUUAUCAAAUGUGAAAAACACUUUAAAAUGCCUUGUAAUGGGGAAGCAACAAAUAUUGUUUGGCUAACAGUUUUAUUUUAGCUUGAGAAACUGUUUCUGAGCUUCAGUCAGAAGUGACAUAAUUACUGAAAAGAGAUGUUACUUCCUGAGCCUUUAUUAGCAUUACUUCAUUACUUCUGCUUUAACAGGUCCGCCUUCUUCCUCCCACCCCCUUUAGCGUUUUCUUUAGUAUUGACAUACGUCAAUGAUUUCAAUGUGGUUCAAGUGGUGACUUGAUUGAUUUACUUACUUUACUAAGCUAAGGCGUAAGGACAAGAGGACGUUGACCCUAGAUGUCCUGAAGGCAGAAAGGAAAUGCUCCUGGGGCAGCACUUUGAUUAGCUUCCUUAAGCAAAUCUAUGUGGGAUCACAACAUUUGCAUGUGGUUCACAUUAUUUGCUCUUCCUAUUCAAAUAUCAGAUGCAAAUCCUAGGAGUUUUCGUUUGGGCACCUAGGGCUGUCUCAGAAACCUUUACCGACGGGGCUCUGCUCUUUCUACGAGAAAUAUUUUUUUUCAAGUCUUAUCCAUAAAGAUAAUAUAUGAUCAACCACAGGUGGGUCCUCAAUGGCUCUACAUCUGCACGAUUCUGAGAUUUUGCCUGCUUAGUAAAUCCUAAAUUAAAAAGAUUGUGGCACCAAUCCCCAACUUGGUGACAGGCAAAGGAGAUUAUGUUAGUUUUUAAAUCUAGCAUCACGGAGCCAAAAAACAUCAACAAUUUGAGGAAGACCAAGAGCUAAGCACUGUUGUCAUACACAACUCCAAAUAAUAUUACUCCUUGUUUGAGUAUUUACAGUUUAAAGUCAAUGUAGUUGAAUUGAAUAGGUUUAAUCAAUGUUGCUUUGGAGAGUUUUACAUACCGAAAUAAUCAAUUAAUCGCAAUUUAAAAUGAACUCGGUCAUUUCAAUUACGGUGAUUAAUAUUUUUUGAAGGGCAAAAAUAUUAAUCACCAGUUGUUUCAUAGCUUCAGCUGCAAGUGGUUUUUAUUUGUUUAAUUUAUUGUUUUUGGUUGGCAUGUUUUAUGUUGGAUAUUUACAAUAUCUCACACAAAAGGUUAUUGGUGUAAUUUAUGGUGGUAAUUUAUUAUUUUAUUGUCACUCAUAAUGCCUCCAUUUCAUUUUUUUUCUCUUAUAAGCUUGAACCAUGACUAAACACAUCAACAGCUCCAGGUAGAGGGGUCAGACCGCAACAUUUCCUUCUAUUCAGCUGGCACAUUGUGGUGUUUCUGAGAAUUUAUGCUUGAAUACGGUGAAACUUCCACUUUGGUUCUCAAUGGUCCGACUCCUGCCAAGUGGACAGAAAAUAGUAAAGUGACCCUUUGCCUCUUUCCCUCCCAGGAAAGGCCUUUUUCUGUUUCUUCCUGGUUGCCACAGAAACACUUCUGUACUCUGAACUGUCCAAACAACACCGCAGAAGAGAAGUGCAGGGAAAUGUUUUAAUCUCCAAAAAAGAAGAAAUCCUGCAUACAAUAUCAGGAUUUUCAUGACUAAAACUAGCAGAUGCUAAUACUUGGCUAUUUACAAGUAGGUAACCGAUUCUGAAAGUGAAUCUACUUAAAAACUCCAAAAGAGAGCUUUCACACAGGUUUCCUACAAAUUUCCCAUUUCAAAAUUUUACGUUUCCACACUAAACCUUCUAGAUUUUUAUGUUAGUUUCUAAUCACAUUAGCCACAAAAACAUUCACCAAGUUUUUUUUUUUUUUUUUUUUUUUCCUUUACUCCCAUCAAAUCAUAAGAUAGCACAUUUUGGAAGCUGCCUUUCAAUUUUGCAGUGUGGUAAAGGGCUGUUUCACUGCUUCUGGCAUCUGGACAAACUUCAGAUCGGUAAAAUGUCCUAAUACUGGAGGAGUGCUGAAAAACAGAUCCCACAUUUGGCAUUUAAAACCAAGCACAUGUAAAGAAAAGAAAGAAAACUCUGGUUUAGAACACAAACGUAACAAGAAUCUAAAGCUCAAAAAAGCAAUAAAAGUUUGUUGUUGUUUCUUUUGCUUUCGUUAGCAACUCAAAACCCAAAACGAUCGACAAGUUGGACAAUAACUACAUUUUCAAUCUGGCAAACAAAGACGACCUUCAUCUAGACAUAAAUGAAUGUAAAAACAGAUUUGAAAGAGGAUCAAAUCAAAUUCCAGACUGCACAGGAACAAUGUUCCCACCACUUAAACACAAAGUAGCUGUGCUGACUGUUUGCUCAGCGUACAGAGCCAAAUAUAUUGCAGACAGCAGUGGUGGCGACGGAGGAUUAACGUAAUAUGAAAACUAAAUAAAUAAGCCAAAAAUUGUACCUGGCCUAAGAAGCUAAUGAGGAAAUUAUGGCAUCUUGUGAUCAGCAAGUCUACAUGUAGAAACAAGUAGAGAAGCCAUACCUUCAACUGCUCUGAUCUACCACUGAUAUGCUGAACAAUGUGCUUAGUGAGUUUACAUCAAGUGUUAUCAAAGAUGUUAUGAGAGAGCACAAACUGUGCAGCGUGUGGCUGGCUGUGAUCAUGUUGCAGCAUGUAGUUUUACACAGAAACAUACAAUUUUGUAACAGCAAUAAGAGCAAAACUCCCAACAUUGUUUCAUCAGACAGACUCCUUGCACUUUGGGCUUUACUUCACCGAGGUCUGCAUACGUUGGUUGAAAAGGCAAGACAACCGCAGAGUCAUCACAGGAUCAUAUGUUUUAUUAGUUAUUGCAUGCUGCGUAACAUUGUGAUAAAAGUGCAUUUUUUAAGACCUUAUAGUUGGUGUUCAGGUAUUAAUCUUCCAAUAACACAUAAUAACCAAGUGAUAUUUUCAAAUUUCCUGUCAACAUUAACUAUUUUUUAACUCAAAAACACGACGUGCCGCUGGAUGAAAGACUGUGGAGUGCCCCAACCAGCGGGCUUAGCAGGUUUUCUGGGGGAAACUUUGCAUGUCUUAUGUUGUUCAUCUAUUUUUUGUUCUCUGGAUGGGCUCUACUGAAACAACAAUGUGAACAAUGAAAAUAAAGGCUGAUUCUGAAGACCACAGAUGCUCACAUUUUCAGCUUCAUCGGAAAUGCAAUUCUUUUCCAAUCAGUGAAUGCACCAUAUCUAAACACUGGUAACGGUACUCUUCAGUGUGGACGCUGUUACCAAGAGAGGACGACUGAGCGCCAUCUUCAGUAUCAGUAAGGUGCAUAAAAUGAAGUCAUAAGACACUUAAUUCCUCUGUGCUGAUGAAAGGAUUUUUGUUCUUAUUUUUUUUUUUUUUUUUUACUUUCUGACAGUUGUUAAGAUUAAGAUGCGUAAUCAUGGCAUCAAAGUAUUGUUUUUACAACUAUGGGAGCAACUGACUGGCAUCUCAAAAGUUCAAACAACACCUGAACUUCAACCCCAAGUAGCAGAGGAGAUGAACAGAAGGUUUCAUGGAUGCAGAGCGGGAUUAAAGAACAGCAGGAGGAGAAAGAUCAAACAAUCUCUUCCAUCAUUCAUAAUAAGCAAGGAUCAUAUCCCAGACUCCAACAUCUCUUUGCCCGGCUUUAAAGAUUUACAGCAAAGCAUAGACUUAAAAAGGAGCAGCAAAGGCAAAUGAGGUGGAUUAGCAAUGCCUGCCGUCAGCUGACGGUGUCAUGUUACUGUGGAAUAUUGGAAUAUUGUCUUGCUAUAGUGUCAUGACCGUCAUGUUUACUGUUAAUCACUUUGCAAAACUUUGGUCUAAAGGACAUUUUAGAAUGUAAAUACUCAUGCACAUAUACGUUACUGAACAUCUGAAUUGCAUACACUUCUUUUUCUUCUUCUGUCCCUGCCCUCCUCCAAGCUGACAUCUUAGUUUAUACUAUCUUUCUAAGUUGUUUAAAAAAAAAAAAAAAAAA